GAGAAUUGUUUCAGUUGGCUGUGGUUCGUCGUACUAGUCAUUUUGGCUUAUCCUUUCAAGAUGGCAGCAUCUACAGGUGGAGAAAGCAUGGAAGAGAAGCCUACAGUUGAAAAUGCAUCCAAGCUGCCAAACAGUCUUCAACAAAGUGCUGAAAAAACCUGAAGAUGUUUCAACUAAUGGUACCCCAUUUUGGUCCAGCCAGAAAACGCAGAAAAGGAAUAAACAUUUUGCGACCUCCUAUGUUUAAUCCCGAUACUGCCUCGGGAAGCUCACCGCCAAUAUUUGGAUCGGAUACUU